GUGAGGGAGGGCGUGACUAGUGACAGAGUGAGCGAGGGCGUGACUAGUGACAGAGUUAGGGAGGGAAGGGGUGACUAGGGACAGAGUGAGGGAGGUGGUGACUAGUGACAGUCACCACCUCCCUCACUGUCACUGUGUCACCCCCUCCCUCACUCUGUCACUGGUCACCCACUCCCCCCCUCACUCUGUCACCAGUCAUCGCCUCACUCUGUCACUAGUCACCCCUUCCUUCCCUCAC